UCAUGGAUUGCAAGUCCAUGACCUGAGUCGAGGUUGGACGCUUAACCGACUAAGCCACCCAGGCACCCCAGGAAUGAUUUUUUAAUGGCAAAGAAGGAGAAACUAAAAAUAGUGUAAAGGAUGUCGAUUUUUAAUUGAAAUAUUGUUCACACAUUUGUUGUAUUAGUUUUAGGCAUACAUCGUAUUAUUCCAUAUGUCUAUAAAUUAUGUUGUACCUAACCACAAGUGUAGCUAUCAUGUGAAAGCAUGCAACAUUAUUACAGGAUUGACUCUAUUCCAUUGGCUGUACCUUGUAUCCCUUGGACUUAUUCACUCCAUAGCUGGAAGCCGGUAUCUCUCUCUCAAAGGUGUCAAUUCUUUAACCUAAGUAUUUUGGUGGUAAACACAAUUACCUCUUGUUCAGUAUGUGUAAAUUGGCAGGCUCUUUUUCUGUGAACAUUGCUUAAAGCAUUACAAAUGAUAUCAUUACAUAAAUAAAUGUGGUUUCAUUUUUCACUCACUAGAAAGAAGGAAAAGAUUUCUUAGUUUCCCAGGCCCUGUCACCAAGACCCUUCCCAAAGUGGAGAACAGGCUUAGUUGCCCAGAACACCUUCUAUCCCUCGGCUGAGCGACCAGGGCCUCAACAUUGCAGGAAUUCCCAUGGUGGCCAGCAGAGAGUGCUCGAGCACCACAAACUAGGAGGGGCCGGUUCCUCUGGGUGUGCGGUGAUGGCCAGCAGAGGGCGCCCCAUCAGCUUUUCUGACCCAGGGCACCUUAGAGCAGGAAGGGCUUCUGUCGCCCCCAGAGGACUCAGGGCCUCUGCCGCUGCCUCAGGACAGAGACCAGAGCUGCGUUUCCAGCAGGUUCUGAAACCCGACCCAGGGGAGACCUUGGGAGCCUUGCAGCAACUUGCUGUCUCUUGAGUCGCCAGAGAGAAGCUGCCUUGUGGCACUGAGUGUUGAGGAGGGGGCGCUGGGUGGCUUCCCUGGGUGCGCUGGUCAGUCAGCAGCACAGGCCCUUGCAUUUUCUGGGCUGUUCCCGUGUUUCAUUCCUCACUUUCCCAGAUAGUAUUUGAGCAAGACGUAUUUUACUAAAGGACCCGUGGAUUGAGGGGUCUCGUGACAUCACAUCAUAGAUGCCGUGGAUGGUUUGUUCCAGAUUCAGGCUUGUUUCCGGGGAGAAAUCCUGACAGAAAUUCAGAAGAACGGAGCUGCAUUCGGUUAGGACGUGAAGACAUGAAAUGCCCGUUUGUCUCAGGACCUUCUAGAAGAAUGAGCUGGUAGCCACUUUCUGAGUCCUGCUGGAACCAGAGACCGAGUUUCCAUGUUUUAGCUGUACCUGUGACACAGGACACAAGAGAACGUGCUCAUGUGAACACAAGUGAAGGACAUGGUGGGGACUUGCCACACAGGUUUCCAUCCUGUCAAUGCUGAUCUUUUUGGACAAAGCAGCACAAACCGAACCCAGAACUGGAUGUGGACAGCUGUGGAGAAACCUGGCCUGUGGUCUUCAGUCUUCAGGAAGAACUGAAGUUCUUCUGAAGUUCCCAUCAAGAACCCCAUGAAAAAGCUGUUGUUUAACCACAGUAUGAAUGAACCCAAUAGAAAGGAAGAAUCCA